rnacentral:tRNA from 1 species
GGAGAGGUGCUGGAGUGGCCGAUCAGGUACGCCUGGAAAGCGUAUGCGGGCGCAAGUCCGCCGUGGGUUCGAAUCCCACCCUCUCCGCCA